AAUAGAUACCCGGGUAGUCCACGCCGUAAACGAUGAGUGCUAAGUGUUGGAGGGUUUCCGCCCUUCAGUGCUGCAGCUAACGCAUUAAGCACUCCGCCUGGGGAGUACGGUCGCAAGACUGAAACUCAAAGGAAUUGACGGGGGCCCGCACAAGCGGUGGAGCAUGUGGUUUAAUUCGAAGCAACGCGAAGAACCUUACCAGGUCUUGACAUCUCCUGACCGCCCUGGAGACAGGGUCUUCCCUUCGGGGACAGGAUGACAGGUGGUGCAUGGUUGUCGUCAGCUCGUGUCGUGAGAUGUUGGGUUAAGUCCCGCAACGAGCGCAACCCUUGGUUCUAGUUGCCAGCAUUCAGUUGGGCACUCUAGAGCGACUGCCGGCGACAAGUCGGAGGAAGGUGGGGAUGACGUCAAAUCAUCAUGCCCCUUAUGACCUGGGCUACACACGUGCUACAAUGGAUGGUACAAAGGGCAGCGAAGCGGCGACGCAUGAGCGAAUCCCAGAAAACCAUUCUCAGUUCGGU
rnacentral:rRNA from 1 species